CGCGUAGGCGGCUAGGCAAGUUGAAGGUGAAAGCCCUCGGCUCAACCGAGGAAUUGCCUCCAAAACUGCCUGGCUUGAGUCCCGGAGAGGGUAGUGGAAUUCCCAGUGUAGCGGUGAAAUGCGUAGAUACUGGGAGGAACACCAGUGGCGAAGGCGGCUACCUGGACGGGUACUGACGCUGAGGCGCGAAAGCGUGGGGAGCAAACAGGAUUAGAUACCCUGGUAGUCC
rnacentral:rRNA from 1 species